GACAAGCUUCCGUAACCAAGGUAACGCGAGCUUUGUAGAAAAUGGCUCCGCGUGAAGCGUCCAGCAGCAGCAAACGGCACUAUGGCUGUGUGAAAAGUCCCAUCCAGCUAGAAUACCGUCAGACCUGUUAGGAUUCAGAAGUCAUUGCCUCAGCGCAGUUGGUUUAGCCAUUUCAUGUUAGAAUUUUUUUAAGCCUGAUUCAUUAGCAUGUUUACUGACGAAGCCCUGGACUCAGUGAGUGUCCGGUCACUGUGGAGGGAAUGCAAACAGUCUGAGCGGAUGUCGAGAGGCUGUCAGACCAGAGCGUUGCAGAGUGCUGAGGCAGAGACCCAGACUGUGUCCACUACCAUCGGCUGUACCCAGACAGAGCCACAGGACCAGGCAACUGAGCAGCUCUUGCAACAAAACCAUGAUGAGCCAGAGCCACCCGGCCUAAAGGACUUCCUUCAGCGAGUUGAGGAAGUGGUCAUCAGAGAGUUGGUCAAAAACGCUAGGAGUCACGCCUUCGAUGGGUUCCAGGUGAACUGGGGUGAUCACAGUCAGCCGGUUUCAUGCCUCCAUUGCCUUCAACAUCCCAUCGCUAAAGAGAAAGGUCUUCAUGUAACAAGUGUGUCCUGGAGCUGUACAGGUUCAGUUAUUGCCUGUGCAUAUGGUCGGAUUGACUAUGGAUACUGGAGCAAUGAGGGGUCGUAUGUUUGUACGUGGAAUCUGGACCGUCGAGUCCUCAGCCCCAAACAAAGUGAUCUGGUCAUAGAUGUCCCUACUGCAGUCACCGCUCUGUGCUGUCACCCCAACCGGCCAGCCCUCAUCGCAGGGGGUCUGUACAGUGGAGAGGUGGUGGUCUGGGACACCAGUCAGACUCAGGACCCUGUGCUGGCCCUAACUGGGAUGUCAGCAGACAGUCACAGGGAGCCUGUUUAUCAGGUUUCCUGGGUACCCCUGCAGAAGAAAGGAGAGUUCGGGGUGCUGAGCGGAGGUUCAGGAGGAAGGGUGCUGCUGUGGACAGUGGACUCGGACCAGGGCAAGUUUGUCCUGAAUGCUGCCUAUGCCUUAGUACGACAGCAGGUUCCCUACAGCAGCAACAUCAGCUUCAAAGCCCGAGGCAGCAGCACUGUGGGGGUCACCUCCAUGGCUCUGUCUCCCUGGGACUCUGACACCUUCCUGGUGGGCUCUGAGGGCGGUCUGCUGCUCAGGUGCUCCUUCUCCUCCAAAAUGCCAGCUGCUGCCCCCUCUGAGGGCCAGAGUGUGACACCGAGAGCUCCGGCAGUCUUCUCAUUCAGACCUGGCAGCGGCCCCAUCCACUCCAUCCACUGCUCCCCUUUCCACAGGAACUUGUUUUUGAGCGCAGGGACCGACGGUCUGGCGCACCUCCACUCUAUGCUGCAGGUCAACCCACUUCUAUCUCUCAGGGUUUCAGACUCCUACGUGUUUCAGGUGCAAUGGUCUCCGACCAGACCGCUGGUUUUUGCUGCAGCCACAGGACAAGGUGAAACACCAAAACUGUGUAUGGAGGGUUUAAAUGAUUGAUAAAAGGAUAUGCUUUAUUAUCUGCUAGGACAUCUUUUAUAGUACAUUUCUAGGUUCAAAGCUGGAUUUUCCACAUGUACCAAAUCAGGUUCAGAUCAGCAGCCAGAUGCAGUUCUCAGCCCCCGAUACGAGGUUGAUGUGAUGUGCUUGUGCCACGUAAAUGAAGCUACAGUACUUGUGGGUAGGGUUUCUGGUUGCCUAAUGUUAAGGCAACAAACCCCAUAACUACAAUGGCCACAGUUCACCCCCCCCUUCGCCUUCCUAUCUGGACGCCAACUAUCAAGUGCGGUGCAGAUAUUUGAUCUGGGCCAGAGGUCCCUGAGGCCAGCAGCCACCAUCGAGCAGGGAGG